rfam:Candidatus Lloydbacteria bacterium RIFCSPHIGHO2_01_FTLL_49_22 rifcsphigho2_01_scaffold_533, whole genome shotgun sequence.
GGGCUCAUAGUAAAGUGGUAUUACACGGCAUUCGCAUUGCCGAGUCCGGGGUUCGACUCCCCGUGAGUCCA